rnacentral:misc_RNA from 1 species
UUUCCGUAGGUGAACCUGCGGAAGGAUCAUUAAAGAAUUUGCCCCGUCCUUUCGGGGAUGGGUCCUCUUCUAAACCGUGUAUACAUACCUUUGUUGCUUUGGCGGGCCGCCGUCUCGGCGUUGGCUUCGGCUGACUGUGCCCGCCAGAGAACCCCAACUCUUCUGUUUAGUAUUGUCUGAGUACUAUAUAAUAGUUAAAACUUUCAACAACGGAUCUCUUGGUUCUG